GAUGAAGAACGUAGCGAAAUGCGAUAAGUAAUGUGAAUUGCAGAAUUCAGUGAAUCAUCGAAUCUUUGAACGCACCUUGCGCUCCUUGGUAUUCCGAGGAGCAUGCCUGUUUGAGUGUCAUGAAAUUCUCAACCUUUUCAGCUUUCUUUGUUGAUCAGGCUUGGAUGUGGGAGUAUGCGGGCUUCUCAGAAGUCGGCUCUCCUGAAAUGCAUCAGCGGGACCUUUGUUGCCUGGCUUUGGUGUGAUAAUUAUCUACGCCAUUGUAGUCAAGCAGCUUAAAAUGAGGUUUCAGCUUCUAACCGUCUCCCCUGAGACAACUUUUUGACAAUUUGACCUCAAAUCAGGUAGGACUACCCGCUGAACUUAAGCAUAUCAAUAAGCGGAGGA
rnacentral:misc_RNA from 1 species